rnacentral:lncRNA from 1 species
CGCUUGUGCAAGAUGCUGGGGAAGGAAGAGCUGGGAAAGGGCCAGUCCCACUGGUCUCUUCCCCAGGCUGAGCGGGAUGGAACCUAUGACUAUUGCCACCUCCCUGGAAAACCACUAAGAAUCUCUGAGUGUGACCAAGGACCCACUUGGAUUGUCCAACUGGUUCAAAUGCAGUCACCAGGGCUCUCCUGAAGGAGUCAGAGCAGGAGUGGUGAUGGAGACCUCAGUCACAGAGAUGCAGAAGGAGAAAGAGAUGGUGGCUCUGGAGAUAGAGGAGAGGCAUGACCCAGGAGUGCCAUCCAUAGGCCUCUAGGAACUGAAAAGGGGCUAGAGCUCUUUACUAGAGUUUCCAGAACAGCACCUUGACUUCAGCACAGUGAAACACCCACUGCAGACUCUGGUCCUCUAGAAUUCUAAGAAAACAAAAAUGUAAUCUUUUGUUACAAAAAUGAUAGCAUAUUCAUACAAUCUCAUCAAGUUUCUCUUGUAUAUCAAGUACUGCCAACUUCCUGGGCUUCACCAGCACUUUGGGUCCAGUCAGCAUGCAUGUCAGGGUCUGCUAGUGUUGUUUUUUUUCUCCUCCCUGUGGCCUAUACCCGGUACCUCCAGCUUCAUAGCCAAACAAGUCAUGAAACUUCAGAUACCCCUCCUCACCCGCUGCUGCUAUUACAAAGGUAUGCCACCACAUCCGGGUUCUCUGGUGCUUGGAAUCAAACCCAAGGCUUUAUGCAUGCUAGGCAAGCACUCUGCCAACUGAUCUCCAUCCUCAGCCCUUUUCACUUUUCUGCAGGUCCUUUCUAUGUUUCAUGUGUCAUCCCUGUCCCUCAGCUACCCAAGUCCAGUUUCAGGAUCUUUGCUUCCCCGUGCCAAGGAGCACUCUCCCGUCUACUUUGAAUGGGCAUCACUUCUUAGAAUCCUUCCCAGAUUCUUUCCCUUUAAAGAGUGUUCUCCGACUCUGCUCUAGGGUUUUGUUUCGUUUUUUUGGGGGGGGGGAGGGGAGAGAUCCACACUCCCAUUCGGCAUCCCCUGUCGCAGGGAUUGGCCUUAAACUGCUGUGCCUGGGCACAAUGCAGGCCCCUAUGGGCAUUUGUCCACUGAAACACAGGUGAAUAGAGCGACAUCUAAUUUGAGGCCUGAAGGCCAGGGAGAACGAGACUGACUAUGGAGCCAGCAUUGUCUCCGAGAUCCGUGCCUACCAUUCAUUUGUAAGACCAAAGCUUCUUGUUUUCAAGAUGAUACAAAUAGUGACUGAGAGCUGAGCGUUGUUAGCACAUGCCUUUAAUCCCAGCACUCGGUGCAGGGGGGCGCAGAGGCAGGCGGAUCUCUGUAAUCGAGACCAGCCUGGUCUACAAG